UAGAUACCCUGGUAGUCCACGCAGUAAACGAUGAUUACUAGCUGUUUGUGAUAUUACAAUAAGUGGCUAAGCGAAAGCGAUAAGUAAUCCACCUGGGGAGUACGCCGGCAACGGUGAAACUCAAAGGAAUUGACGGGGGCCCGCACAAGCGGAGGAACAUGUGGUUUAAUUCGAUGAUACGCGAGGAACCUUACCCGGGCUUGAAAUGCAUCUGACCGAUCGGGAAACCGAUCUUCUAGCAAUAGCAGAU
rnacentral:rRNA from 1 species